UUAAUAAUAAAAUGUUUAAGUUCUUUAUCUCAAGAUAAAGAUUAAAGGGGAAUCAGGUGAAAGUCCUGUACGAUCCGGUCACUGUAAGUGGGGAGCAUUUCUUCAAGAUGUCACUGUUUAUACAAUAAAUGGGAAGGCGAAGGAAAACGUUGCUUUGAUCCACAAGUCAGGAUACCUGCUUAGGCAUAUUUGCAUUA
rnacentral:ncRNA from 2 species